rfam:Paxillus involutus ATCC 200175 unplaced genomic scaffold PAXINscaffold_13, whole genome shotgun sequence.
GCCGGGGUAGCUCAGCUGGGAGAGCAACAGACUGAAGAUGAUGAAUGGUUUUCUGGAGGUCCCGUGUUCAAUCCACGGUCCUGGCA